rnacentral:lncRNA from 1 species
CCGCCCGGCGCGGGGCGCGGAGCGCUGCCGAGGGUCUGCGCUCGGCGCGGCGCUCCGCCCGCGGUCCUCCCGCCCUCCCGGCCGCGGCUCCGGCUUCGGCUCCCGCACGGAGGCUCCCGGGGCGCGCCGCUCUAACGUGAAUCCGCGGCGGGAGCCGCUGGGCUGCGGGCUGCUCCCUUUGAAACGGCGGCUCCCGCUGUCGGCGUGCGCGUGGCGGCGGGGCACGGCCGCACACACCGAGCGCUGCCCGCGGCCCCUCCGCGCCUCCGGCUGCGGGCUCACGGCGGAGCGCUACCCACGGCCACGCACGCACACGCCGUCGGCCUCAGUUCGAGAGCGGCGAUAGAUGGGUGGCCUCGUGCCGAGGCACCGCGCGGCGCUAGCCCGGCCAGAUGCUUCCUCCCGUCCGACAGCGGUGCCGCCGAGGCAUCGGCUGCGGCGCAAGGCUCUCCCGAGCCAGGUGUGAGAGAGGCAAAGCCCCAUUGAAGACAAUGACAGUAGUUCUGUGCUGCAUGGGGAGUUAAACACCGAGCACUGCAGCAGCGUUCGUUUGGAGCAGUGUGUUUCUUAGAGCCGGGAAGGUCUGAGUGGAGGUAAGAGUGAGAUCUACUCUUCCCUUGGCCCUUCUGCUGCAAACCACUGUGCAAAAAGGCAAAUGCAAACAGGAGCCUGCCCUUAGCCCACUGAAAGAGUUCACUGACCUCUCGUCUGCUGCACUGAAGCCUGCAGGAACCCUGGCAUAACUGACUGAAGGUCACUGUCCAUUCCUAUCCGCAUCGAUGCAGACUAGGGCUUUGGAGUGGUUGGAAAAGUAAACCAUAUCUUAGGUGCUAGAGGAGAUCAAACCUCAACAUGGACUCCUGAUGUUUUAUUUUGAUUUUCAAUACAGUUUCCUUUAUUCUGUGCUUGAUACCAGACUGAAGACUGAUUUUAGCAAUGUUUCCAAUUGCUUGUUUAUACUAAUGUCACACUGAGAUAUCCAGUGACUAACCACUGUGAAUCUUUGUCAGACAGCAGGAUGUCACCGAGUGGAAGCAGGAACAGGUGUUCUGGGAGGAGUAUAGGGAUGCUUCUGGGCUGUGUAGGGAUGGGAUCAGACAGGUCAAGACCCAGCUGGAACUGGACUUUAGCAAAGAACAAGAAAGGCUUGUUCAGUUCAGAAGGAGAGAAACAACGUUGGUAACACACCGAUGUUCACAGCGGCUGCUAAGCAGUGUUGGACAGAACCAAGGCUGUUCUCAGCAAAGGGCCCAAGGAGCUGGGAGGGAACAGAGUGAGGACAGCUGACUUGACCUGGCCAAAGGGAUAUUCCAUACCAUGUGACCUCAUGGAG